ACGGCUCAGUAACACGUGGAUAACCUGCCCUUGGGUCCGGCAUAACCCCGGGAAACUGGGGAUAAUUCCGGAUAACGCAUAUAUGCUGGAAUGCUUUAUGCGUCAAAUGGAUUCGUCUGCCCAAGGAUGGGUCUGCGGCCUAUCAGGUAGUAGUGGGUGUAAUGUACCUACUAGCCGACGACGGGUACGGGUUGUGAGAGCAAGAGCCCGGAGAUGGAUUCUGAGACAUGAAUCCAGGCCCUACGGGGCGCAGCAGGCGCGAAAACUUUACAAUGCGGGAAACCGUGAUAAGGGGACACCGAGUGCCAGCAUCAUAUGCUGGCUGUCCGGGUGUGUAAAAUACACCUGUUAGCAAGGGCCGGGCAAGACCGGUGCCAGCCGCCGCGGUAACACCGGCGGCCCGAGUGGUGAUCGUGAUUAUUGGGUCUAAAGGGUCCGUAGCCGGUUUGGUCAGUCCUCCGGGAAAUCUGACGGCUUAACCGUUAGGCUUUCGGAGGAUACUGCCAGGCUUGGAACCGGGAGAGGUAAGAGGUACUACAGGGGUAGGAGUGAAAUCUUGUAAUCCCUGUGGGACCACCUGUGGCGAAGGCGUCUUACCAGAACGGGUUCGACGGUGAGGGACGAAAGCUGGGGGCACGAACCGGAUUAGAUACCCGGGUAGUCCCAGCCGUAAACGAUGCUCGCUAGGUGUCAGGCAUGGCGCGACCGUGUCUGGUGCCGCAGGGAAGCCGUGAAGCGAGCCACCUGGGAGGUACGGCCGCAAGGCUGAAACUUAAAGGAAUUGGCGGGGGAGCAC
rnacentral:rRNA from 1 species